rnacentral:rRNA from 1 species
AGCGAACGCUGGCGGCAGGCCUAACACAUGCAAGUCGAACGGACCCUUCGGGGUUAGUGGCGGACGGGUGAGUAACACGUGGGAACGUGCCUUUAGGUUCGGAAUAGCUCCUGGAAACGGGUGGUAAUGCCGAAUGUGCCCUUCGGGGGAAAGAUUUAUCGCCUUUAGAGCGGCCCGCGUCUGAUUAGCUAGUUGGUGAGGUAAAGGCUCACCAAGGCGACGAUCAGUAGCUGGUCUGAGAGGAUGACCAGCCACAUUGGGACUGAGACACGGCCCAAACUCCUACGGGAGGCAGCAGUGGGGAAUCUUGCGCAAUGGGCGAAAGCCUGACGCAGCCAUGCCGCGUGAAUGAUGAAGGUCUUAGGAUUGUAAAAUUCUUUCACCGGGGACGAUAAUGACGGUACCCGGAGAAGAAGCCCCGGCUAACUUCGUGCCAGCCGCCGCUGUAACAC